rnacentral:SRP_RNA from 1 species
GCUGGGUGUGGUGGUGCACACCUGUAAUCCCAGCUACUUGGGAGGCUGAGGCAGGAGAAUUGCUUGAACCCAGGAGGCAGAAGUUGCAGUGAGCUGAGAUCGUGCCACUGCACUCCAGCCUGGGUGACAGAGUGAGACUCCAUCUCAA